rnacentral:rRNA from 1 species
UAAAGUGGUACGCGAGCUGGGUUUAGAACGUCGUGAGACAGUUCGGUCCCUAUCUGCCGUGGGCGCUGGAGAACUGAGGGGGGCUGCUCCUAGUACGAGAGGACCGGAGUGGACGCAUCACUGGUGUGCUCCUCGUCCAUAUUGCCGGUUACCGCCUGGAUAUCAACAGGACGCCCCUCCGCCUGCAUUCUGGCAAAACUGCGCGCCAGAAAAUCGAAAUUAUUUAAUGAAUAGACGUUAUUGUUGUUCAUC